rnacentral:lncRNA from 1 species
AUUAUAUUUGGUCAAUGGGGAUUACAACUAUUUUUUUAACAAAUAAAUGAUUUUAUUAGAAAAAAUAGCUAAUAGCUAACAAUUAAUUACAUAUGAAUAGACAAAAUUGGAUUUAACAUCCAAGGGACACGACUUACACUAAUCCUAUUCCAAUCAACAAACAAAGUAUAAAAGUAGUCUAUCAAUCUAUCUGUUGGGACAAAAAUAUGGUUUAUACUUUACUUUUCUAGAAAAAUGUAUUUUUGUGUCUUCGACCGUAAACAACUUGGUGUUUACGGCCGUAAACCCAUUUACGGCCCAUGUUCACCAAGCCUAUAUUCUCCAAGUAUAAAUAUAGG